rnacentral:rRNA from 1 species
UCGGGAAUUUUGGGCAAUGGGCGAAAGCCUGACCCAGCAACGCCGCGUGAAGGAUGAAGUAUUUCGGUAUGUAAACUUCGUAAGAAUAGGAAGAAUAAAUGACGGUACUAUUUGUAAGGUCCGGCUAACUACGUGCCAGCAGCCGCGGUAAUACGUAGGGACCAAGCGUUGUUCGGAUUUACUGGGCGUAAAGGGCGCGUAGGCGGUGUGUCAAGUCAGUUGUGAAAUCUCCGAGCUUAACUCGGAACGGUCAACUGAUACUGUCACACUAGAGUACAGAAGGGGCAAUCGGAAUUCUUGGUGUAGCGGUGAAAUGCGUAGAUAUCAAGAGGAACACCUGAGGCGAAGGCGGGUUGCUGGGCUGAUACUGACGCUGAGGCGCGAAAGCUAGGGGUAG